GAUGAACGCUGGCGGCGUGCCUAAUACAUGCAAGUCGAGCGAACAGAUGAGGAGCUUGCUCCUCUGACGUUAGCGGCGGACGGGUGAGUAACACGUGGAUAACCUACCUAUAAGACUGGGAUAACUUCGGGAAACCGGAGCUAAUACCGGAUAAUAUAUUGAACCGCAUGGUUCAAUAGUGAAAGACGGUUUUGCUGUCACUUAUAGAUGGAUCCGCGCCGCAUUAGCUAGUUGGUAAGGUAACGGCUUACCAAGGCAACGAUGCGUAGCCGACCUGAGAGGGUGAUCCGCCACACUGGAAAUGAGACCAGGGCCCGACUCCUACGGGAGGCAGCAGUUGGGAAUUUUUCGCAAUGGGCGGAAGCCUGAAGGAGCAAAGCCGGCGUGGUGAAGAAGGGCUUCGGGUUGUAAAACCCUUUUAUUGGGGAAGAACAAAUGUGUAAGUAACUAUGCACGUCUUGACGGUACCUAAUCAGAAAGCCACGGCUAACUACGUG
rnacentral:rRNA from 1 species